rnacentral:lncRNA from 1 species
ACUUCAGCUUCUGCCAGACAGAUGGAACUCUCCAGCAUGAAAAUCUGCGCAGCCAUUCCAACAAGCAGGGCUCUGCCUGAGGUUGUCCGAAGGAUGCCGAGGAAAAGGAUAUCAGGACUGGAAUGGCUCUUACAGCAAGAUCCCCCUUGAAGUUAACGUAGCGACGACGUGGUCCUUGUAGGACCAAGCAUUCUUGGCAUUCUGUCGAGAUUGAGAUUCCAGAGCAUCGGAUGAACGGGACUUAUAGCUAAGGCGUACUCACCCACCCCUCCCUUCGUCUUUUUACGCACGCAGCAACUCGUC